AUACUUACUUGGCGUCGGAGUUGCUCUGAUCACGGAGGGAGCUCUCCUGGUUGGAGGCCAUCCAUUGCACUUCGGAAGGCUGACGACUGCCACUUCCGCAAAUUGCGGUUGGUUGGGGCGCGUAAUUUUUGGUAGUCGGGGACUGCGUUCGCGCUGAUCCCUG
rnacentral:snRNA from 1 species